rnacentral:sRNA from 1 species
UUAAAGCAGCCAUGACAUUAUACGAAAAAGGGUCGAUCUGACUAUGAUGAAUUUGCUUGUUGUGCAACAGUUCGCGAAUGAAGGGAGAGUUUUGAAACAUGCAAAAUGUAUUUGUGCCGAUUUUGUGAACAUCAACAUCAUCAGAGAUUGAUAAAUAGAUUGCUACUGUGUACACAAACAUCUGAUGGAAAACCAGAAGCCCUCGGGGAGCAGACAGUCUGCUAUUGCGCUCUGCCAUUUACUUGGGGGCAGAAGUUUGUUUUUCUUUCCUGAUGAAUGAAUCAUUUUUUGAAGAAUUUUCAGUAGCGUUUGAGCAAGAGAGACAGUUCAAUAGGGAUUUGUGAAAGGAGCACCCUAUUGACAGUAGCAGACGGCACUUGUCAUUUUCUCUUGAAAGAGAGAAAGAAUAAAGAAAUUAAUGGAAAAAGUUGUAACUUAGAAGUGAUUGCAGACGGCAUAGGAUAUCUGAAUAUUCAAUAAAUUUGUAAGAAAAAGACUUGCUGGUUUCAUUGGUAUAAUCAAAAAGAUGAUGGAGAGAUGAACUAUUUUCACUAAAUGUUACAUAGAUUUGGAUGAAUUAAGCAUACGUACAGCCUGGCUUAUCCGAGGUGAAGCGAUAAACGCAGAUAAGAAAAUCAUUUUUAACUGAGAUGACAUUUUGAAGCGUGGGUGUUUUCAACAUCAAGAACAUCGGAAUCUGUGGAUCCAGAAUAGCUCUAGGGCGGAGUUUAUGAUCAUUGGAACAUUGCAUAAGAAGGUCUCCAUAUGCAACAGCGGAGUUGUGGAGUAUAGGAGUGCAGAAAUAUUGACUGGAGCGAUAUUGUGUGAAAUCUAGAUGUUAUAGCGAUACUGCCAUUAAAGCUCAUAGGGUUCAUGUGUGUGUAUGAGUGGUUAGAUUGUUAUAGUACAUUCUGUUGUGAACUUACAGAAGUGGACCUAAGAACUUAUUCUGAUAAUAUCAUAUAACUGUGAAGUGUGCUAUAUACCGUAAUUCAACUUGAGUUUGUUUAGGAAGAUUGCCAAUAUUGUGUAGAUAAUAGUGAAAAGAUUUAUAAUUAGUGCACUUCAAAUUUAUUUAAGAAAUUGGACACUCAUUUUAUUGAGAAUUAAUUCAACAUUUUGUGAUUCUUUUUACAUUUUUUGUCCAAAAGAGAAUGGAAUUACUGGCCACUGGAGCCAGAGAAAUUCAGUUUUGUUGUGAUUUCUGAAGAACAAAUGCUUUUUC